rnacentral:misc_RNA from 1 species
AGGGGCCCUACAUAAAAC